AAAUUGCUCUCAAACCAUAAAAAAAAACAAGUCUUGUUUGCUUUUCUUGAAGUUUCAGCUGCUUUUUGUUGCAAAGGUUGAAACUUUAUCCAGUGAAAAAUGAAGUCUUGGCAGUCUGGUGAUGUUUGCUUAACUUUCUCUUUAGAAUUUUAGCUAAUUUUUCCUCUGGUUUUUGGUACCAUUUUGUGUUCAUAGGGUUAAGAAUGUUACUGUGGAAGUGAUGGUUUUUGUGCUUAUCAUAACAUUUUGCCUUGUGGGGUUUUGAAAGUUUUGAUUUUUGUGGUGUUUCAUAAGAUUUUGCCUUGUGGGGUUAUCAAGAUUUUGAAGUUUUUUUUGAUGAUUUAGAUGGAUUCUGGUAGUUUAUAUUCAAACAUGGGUCCUGGUAUGUUGGGAUUAGAAAUGUCAUUGCAUCAUCAAAUCCCUCCACAGAACACUCACCAUCACUUGCAUCAACAACCUCCACCUCACCCCCAGCCCCAACCCCACCACCACCCCAUGGUUUCAUUUGCACAUCAAGAAAAUAAUGAUAACCAACAACAAACAUUGAGGCAAGUUUUUCCAUUUGGUAGCAACAAGGCUAAAAAUCAAAGCUUGAAUUUUAGUGAUGAUGAUGAACCUGUUCCUGGUGUUAGUGCUGACAAUAAUAGUACUGAUGAUGGUAAAAGGAAUGGUAAUAAAACUUGUCCUUGGCAAAGAAUGAAGUGGACUGAUAAUAUGGUUAGGUUGUUGAUUAUGGUGGUUUAUUAUAUUGGUGAUGAAGUUGGUUCUGAA
rnacentral:misc_RNA from 1 species